GUCUUGGAUGACAUGUGGGAUACUGAGACAUUGGAUGAGCUAAUGAGACCUUUUCCUGAAUUUCAUAAAGGAAGCAGAGUGAUUUUAACAAGUCGGAAAAAGGAAGUUGCUUUGCAUGGAAAAUGCCACAGUGAUCCUCUUUAUCUUCGAUUGCUAAGAUCAGAAGAAAGUUGGGAGUUAUUAGAGAAAAGGGUAUUCGGAGAAGAAGGUUGCCCUGAUGAACUAAAGGAUGUCGGAGGAAAGAUAGCUCUAAAGUGUGAUGGUCUUCCUUUAGUAGUUGAUCUAAUCGGUGGAGUCCUUUCAAGGAAGGAAAAGAAAGAGGCUUCGUGGGCUGAAGUUCUGAAUGAGUUGAGUUCCUCUAUUUUUAAGGAGGAAGAGGAAGUUGUGAAGGUUAUACAAUUAAGUUAUGAGCAUUUGUCAGAUGACGUAAAGCCGUGUUUGGUUUGCCUUGCAACUUAUCCAAAGGACAAUG
rnacentral:misc_RNA from 1 species